rnacentral:rRNA from 1 species
GUCUAUGGCCAUGCUAUCCUGAACAAGCCCGAUCCUGUCUGAUCUUAGAAGCUAAGCAGGGUCGGGCCUGGUUAGUACUCGGAUGGGAGACCACCUAGGAAGACCAGGUGCUGUAGGCA